rnacentral:rRNA from 1 species
GUUAUAUGGUCAAGUGAAGAAGCGCAUACGGUGGAUGCCUUGGCAGUCAGAGGCGAUGAAAGACGUGGUAGCCUGCGAAAAGCUUCGGGGAGUCGGCAAACAGACUUUGAUCCGGAGAUCUCUGAAUGGGGGAACCCACCUAGGAUAACCUAGGUAUCUUGUACUGAAUCCAUAGGUGCAAGAGGCGAACCAGGGGAACUGAAACAUCUAAGUACCCUGAGGAAAAGAAAUCAACCGAGAUUCCCUUAGUAGUGGCGAGCGAACGGGGAUUAGCCCUUAAGCUUCAUUGAUUUUAGCGGAACGCUCUGGAAAGUGCGGCCAUAGUGGGUGAUAGCCCCGUACGCGAAAGGAUCUUUGAAGUGAAAUCGAGUAGGACGGAGCACGAGAAACUUUGUCUGAACAUGGGGGACCAUCCUCCAAGGCUAAAUACUACUGACUGACCGAUAGUGAACCAGUACCGUGAGGGAAAGGCGAAAAGAACCCCGGAGAGGGGAGUGAAAUAGAACCUGAAACCGUAUGCGUACAAGCAGUGGGAGCCUACUUGUUAGGUGACUGCGUACCUUUUGUAUAAUGGGUCAGCGACUUAUAUUCAGUGGCAAGCUUAACCGUAUAGGGUAGGCGUAGCGAAAGCGAGUCUUAAUAGGGCGUUUAGUCGCUGGGUAUAGACCCGAAACCGGGCGAUCUAUCCAUGAGCAGGUUGAAGGUUAGGUAACACUGACUGGAGGACCGAACCCACUCCCGUUGAAAAGGUAGGGGAUGACUUGUGGAUCGGAGUGAAAGGCUAAUCAAGCUCGGAGAUAGCUGGUUCUCCUCGAAAGCUAUUUAGGUAGCGCCUCAUGUAUCACUCUGGGGGGUAGAGCACUGUUUCGGCUAGGGGGUCAUCCCGACUUACCAAACCGAUGCAAACUCCGAAUACCCAGAAGUGCCGAGCAUGGGAGACACACGGCGGGUGCUAACGUCCGUCGUGAAAAGGGAAACAACCCAGACCGCCAGCUAAGGUCCCAAAGUUGUGGUUAAGUGGUAAACGAUGUGGGAAGGCUUAGACAGCUAGGAGGUUGGCUUAGAAGCAGCCACCCUUUAAAGAAAGCGUAAUAGCUCACUAGUCGAGUCGGCCUGCGCGGAAGAUGUAACGGGGCUCAAACCACACACCGAAGCUGCGGGUGUCACGUAAGUGACGCGGUAGAGGAGCGUUCUGUAAGCCUGUGAAGGUGAGUUGAGAAGCUUGCUGGAGGUAUCAGAAGUGCGAAUGCUGACAUGAGUAACGACAAUGGGUGUGAAAAACACCCACGCCGAAAGACCAAGGGUUCCUGCGCAACGUUAAUCGACGCAGGGUUAGUCGGUUCCUAAGGCGAGGCUGAAAAGCGUAGUCGAUGGGAAACAGGUUAAUAUUCCUGUACUUCUGGUUACUGCGAUGGAGGGACGGAGAAGGCUAGGCCAGCUUGGCGUUGGUUGUCCAAGUUUAAGGUGGUAGGCUGAAAUCUUAGGUAAAUCCGGGGUUUCAAGGCCGAGAGCUGAUGACGAGUCGUCUUUUAGAUGACGAAGUGGUUGAUGCCAUGCUUCCAAGAAAAGCUUCUAAGCUUCAGGUAACCAGGAACCGUACCCCAAACCGACACAGGUGGUCGGGUAGAGAAUACCAAGGCGCUUGAGAGAACUCGGGUGAAGGAACUAGGCAAAAUGGCACCGUAACUUCGGGAGAAGGUGCGCCGGCUAGGGUGAAGGAUUUACUCCGUAAGCCCUGGCUGGUCGAAGAUACCAGGCCGCUGCGACUGUUUAUUAAAAACACAGCACUCUGCAAACACGAAAGUGGACGUAUAGGGUGUGACGCCUGCCCGGUGCCGGAAGGUUAAUUGAUGGGGUUAGCGCAAGCGAAGCUCUUGAUCGAAGCCCCGGUAAACGGCGGCCGUAACUAUAACGGUCCUAAGGUAGCGAAAUUCCUUGUCGGGUAAGUUCCGACCUGCACGAAUGGCGUAACGAUGGCGGCGCUGUCUCCACCCGAGACUCAGUGAAAUUGAAAUCGCUGUGAAGAUGCAGUGUAUCCGCGGCUAGACGGAAAGACCCCGUGAACCUUUACUGUAGCUUUGCACUGGACUUUGAGCCUGCUUGUGUAGGAUAGGUGGGAGGCUUUGAAGCGUGGACGCCAGUUCGCGUGGAGCCAUCCUUGAAAUACCACCCUGGCAUGCUUGAGGUUCUAACUCUGGUCCGUGAUCCGGAUCGAGGACAGUGUAUGGUGGGCAGUUUGACUGGGGCGGUCUCCUCCUAAAGAGUAACGGAGGAGUACGAAGGUGCGCUCAGACCGGUCGGAAAUCGGUCGUAGAGUAUAAAGGCAAAAGCGCGCUUGACUGCGAGACAGACACGUCGAGCAGGUACGAAAGUAGGUCUUAGUGAUCCGGUGGUUCUGUAUGGAAGGGCCAUCGCUCAACGGAUAAAAGGUACUCCGGGGAUAACAGGCUGAUACCGCCCAAGAGUUCAUAUCGACGGCGGUGUUUGGCACCUCGAUGUCGGCUCAUCACAUCCUGGGGCUGAAGCCGGUCCCAAGGGUAUGGCUGUUCGCCAUUUAAAGUGGUACGCGAGCUGGGUUUAGAACGUCGUGAGACAGUUCGGUCCCUAUCUGCCGUGGACGUUUGAGAUUUGAGAGGGGCUGCUCCUAGUACGAGAGGACCGGAGUGGACGAACCUCUGGUGUUCCGGUUGUCACGCCAGUGGCAUUGCCGGGUAGCUAUGUUCGGAAAAGAUAACCGCUGAAAGCAUCUAAGCGGGAAACUUGCCUCAAGAUGAGAUCUCACUGGGAACUUGAUUCCCCUGAAGGGCCGUCGAAGACUACGACGUUGAUAGGCUGGGUGUGUAAGCGUUGUGAGGCGUUGAGCUAACCAGUACUAAUUGCCCGUGAGGCUUGACCAUAUAACACCCAAACA